AGAACGAACGCUGGCGGCAGGCCUCAAACAUGCAAGUCUAGGGGGUGUAGCAAUACAUCACCGGCGGACGGGUGCGUAACGCGUGGGAAUGUACCUAUUGGUUCGGAACAACUGAGGGAAACUUCAGCUAAUACCGGAUGAGCCCGAAAGGGGAAAGAUUUCUCGCCAAUAGAUCAGCCCGCGUCCGAUUAGCUAGUUGGUGGGGUUAAAGCCUACCAAGGCGACGAUCGGUAGCUGUUCUGAGAGGAAGAUCAGCCACACUGGGACUGAGACACGGCCCAGACUCCUACGGGAGGCAGCAGUUGGGAAUCUUGGACAAUGGGGGAAACCCUGAUCCAGCCAUGCCGCGUGAGUGAUGAAGGCCUUCGGGUUGUAAAACUCUUUCGACGGGGACGAUAAUGACGGUACCCGUAGAAGAGCUCCGGCUAACUUCGCGCCAGCAGCCGC
rnacentral:rRNA from 1 species